GACGAACGCUGGCGGCGUGCUUAACACAUGCAAGUCGAACGAAGAGCGAUGGAAGCUUGCUUCUAUCAAUCUUAGUGGCGAACGGGUGAGUAACGCGUAAUCAACCUGCCCUUCAGAGGGGGACAACAGUUGGAAACGACUGCUAAUACCGCAUACGAUCUGACCUCGGCAUCGAGGAUAGAUGAAAGGUGGCCUCUAUUUAUAAGCUAUCACUGAAGGAGGGGAUUGCGUCUGAUUAGCUAGUUGGAGGGGUAACGGCCCACCAAGGCGAUGAUCAGUAGCCGGUCUGAGAGGAUGAACGGCCACAUUGGGACUGAGACACGGCCCAGACUCCUACGGGAGGCAGCAGUGGGGAGUCUUCCGCAAUGGACGAAAGUCUGACGGAGCAACGCCGCGUGAGUGAUGACGGCCUUCGGGUUGUAAAGCUCUGUUAAUCGGGACGAAAG
rnacentral:rRNA from 1 species